rnacentral:tRNA from 1 species
GGGCUGUUAGCUCAGCGGUAGAGCAUGGCCUUCACACGGCAAGGGUCACAGGUUCGAUCCCUGUACCGCCCACCA